rnacentral:piRNA from 1 species
AACAAAUCCUCCAGUGACUGUGCU